CCGGUUGAUCCCGCCGGAGGCUACCGCUAUUGGAGUCCGAUUAAGACAUGCGAGUCGAGAGCUUUCGGAGCUCGGCAUACUGCUCAGUAACACGUGGGUAACCUGCCCUGUGCUGGGGGAUAACCUCGGGAAACUGAGAACAAUACCCCAUAGUCCACUACGCCUGGAACGGUGAGUGGAUGAAAGCCCCGGCGGCACAGGAUGGGCCUGCGGCGUAUCAGGUAGUAGGGGGUGUAAAGUACCCUCUAGCCUUCGACGCGUACGGGUUGUGAGAGCAAUAGCCCGGAGAUGGAUUCUGAGACACGAAUCCAGGUCCUACGGGACGCAGCAGUCGCGAAACCUUGACAAUGCGGGAAACCGUGAUCGGGGGACUCCAAGUGCCAGGAGUAAGAUCCUGUGCUUUUCUUCUCUCUUCAAAGGAUUAGGAAUAAGAGGUGGGUAAGGACGGUGCCAGCCGCCGCGGUAAUACCGGCGCCUCGAGUGGUAGUCGAUUUUAUUGGGCCUAAAACGUCCGUCGCCGGUCUGGUGCAUUCGUGGGUAAAUCAACCCACUCAACGGGUUGAAUUCUGCGAGCACGGCCAGACUAGGGACCGGGAGAGGUGUGGGGUACG
rnacentral:rRNA from 1 species